rnacentral:sRNA from 1 species
GCAACAAGCAGUCUUCAUGAACGCCAACAUCCGAGAACUUGAAGCCAAGCUGUCAGAAGAGAUUUCCAGACGGGAGCAGCUGGAAAAAGAGCACAAAAUGUGCAGAAUUCACUGUGAAAAUUUGAGGUAAAUUCUGAAUUUUCCACCCAAAAAUCUUUCCAAAUUUUCAAAUUUUCAGACGAGACAUUACCGAGCUCGUUCAAACUCGCGACGAGCUUUCCUUGGAGCUCCGCCGAGCCCAUGACACGUGCCAUAACAAGAAUAAUCAAAUUGACGAGCUCAAAAAGCAGUUGAAUCAGAAAAUCUCAGAAGUGAACAAGUUGAGCUCAAAGAUCGAGGCGUUAAGCCAGCUGAACCGGACUUAUAAUGAGGAAAAUCGGAAUUUGUCCCGACAACUCGAGAUUCUACUGACCCAGAACAAGGAGCUGCUCCAGCGAGCUCUUCAUGACAAGGAUCAGUAUCAUUUGGAGAUGAAGGACUUCCAGGUAAAAAAAAAUCGUGAAAUAUUUUUGAAUUUUGAAAAAAAAAUUUUUGAGUUUUUUGAAUUUUUGUAAUAAAUUUAUAUUCAUCCGAACCGCCUAAUUUUCUUCUUUCCAAAAAUAUAAUUUUCAUACUUCCCGCUCCACAACUAACCGAGUUACAGACGUUUUUGCACGCCCCGGUUAGAGAUGAGAGGGCGCAGAGAAAGCAGACGCGCUGACUGUCUGCGUCCUCUUCUCUCUCGCCGCGCAGGGCAAAAACCGCCGUAACUCCGCGAUUCUUGGAGGAAAAUUUAUGAAAAGUAUAUUUUUGAAAUCAGGAAAAACCGGCGGUUUGGAUGUGUAUACUUUUUUCUGAAAAAUUUUAAAUUUUAUUUUUCGAAAUUUUUGAUUUUUUUUUUAUAAAAUUUUGUUUUUCAAAGUGCAAUUUAUUAUUAAAUCUUCUAGGAUCAACUCAGCGCUUUACGUCGUCACAAAGAAAAGCUUGAGGACAAGAUCAUGGAUCAAUACAGAACCAUGGAGAACAAGAAGUCAACGCCAGAACGGAAGCAGCCGCUGGUGAAGCGAGCCGCUAAGGCACUGAUUAACAGG